rnacentral:sRNA from 1 species
UUUUUUGGGGAUCGCCCCCCACCAGCGUGUCACGCCCGUGGGGGCGCUACUG